rnacentral:rRNA from 1 species
AUGGCCGGAAUAAACAUGUCGACACAAAAAGGGCAAGAAGCUCAUGUCAAUAUAAGCAUUGGAGCAGCAGGUAACCUGAAGCCUGAUUCUGAUGUCGACAUAAGGCAGCAGAAGCCAAUUGAACUAGGGGAACAUGGCAUUCUGGACUUGCAGAAAAUAGGGUGGGUACUUCGGCUGCGGUGGUCGUGGCUGCUGGGCACAUCGCCGUCAUGGUUGUGGCAAGAAUUCAGACUGCCCUGCACCAACACUGUACAUGCAUUGUUCCAAGCCUCCACCUAUGUAACUGUCGGCAAUGGUCGCAACACCCGCUUCUGGACUGACUGCCGGAUGGAUGAUCGCUCACCAGCAGAUGUUGUUCCAACCGUCCUCCAAGCUGUACAGUACAGCCGCAUCUCUGUUGCCAACUCCGGACUGUCGGACUGUACUGUAUGCGAUGACCUUCACAACAACAGAAUCAAUUCCACAUUUUCAGGUUUCCGAAAGGACGAAGGCAGUCUUAUCUGGAGUUGA